AUUGAACGCUGGCGGCAUGCCUUACACAUGCAAGUCGAACGGUAACAGGGAGCUUGCUCCGCUGACGAGUGGCGAACGGGUGAGUAAUGUAUCGGAACGUACCUUUUAGUGGGGGAUAACGUAGCGAAAGUUACGCUAAUACCGCAUAUUCUCUGAGGAGGAAAGCAGGGGACCUUCGGGCCUUGCGCUAAUAGAGCGGCUGAUAUCAGAUUAGCUAGUUGGUGAGGUAAAGGCUCACCAAGGCGACGAUCUGUAGCGGGUCUGAGAGGAUGGUCGGCCACACUGGAACUGAGACACGGGCCAGACUCCUACGGGAGGCAGCAGUGGGGAAGUUUGGACAAUGGGGGCAACCCUGAUCCAGCCAUGCCGCGUGAGUGAAGAAGGCCUUCGGGUUGUCAAGCUCUUUCGGCCGGGAAAAAAUCGCAUGGGUUAAUACCCUGUGUGGAUGAUGGUACCGGAAUAAGAAGCACCGGCUAACUACGUGCCAGCCGCCGCAGUAAAAC
rnacentral:rRNA from 1 species